UGCUCACAUCGCCUUGGCGCGAUGCGUCUGCGGCAGCUCGUUGCAACUUGAGCGGAUAAUUUGCUUGUCCCGGCUCCUUAUGAAUCUACUUCGACGCACAGAGGCGAGAAAAAACAUUAGAGAGACAACAACACGAAGAACAGGAGUUUUUUUUGUGACUUGUGAGAUAUGCAGCCUCAAUGGAUGACAUGAAAGAAGAGGAACUUUGUACAGACCAGCUGAGAGAACAUCUUCUCUGUGCCGAAGCUCUGAGGCAUGGAAUGAGUAACGAGGUAACAGCUAUCUACUGCAUCGCUUCAUCACAGUUGCAAUAAAAGAAGUCUGUGAGCGGAAGACAACAAAACAACAUGACCAGCACUGCAACAUCAGGUGAGUCUUUUGUAAAUGUUACAUGUUUUUCAGAAUGUAGAUUUUAGAAACACAGGAUAAAGACAGUCUUUGGUCACAAAUAAAAUAUUCUGCUGAGACACAGA